rnacentral:rRNA from 1 species
CUACGGGCGGCUGUAGUGGGGAAUCUUGGACAAUGGGCGCAAGCCUGAUCCAGCCAUGCCGCGUGAGUGAAGAAGGCCUUAGGGUCGUAAAGCUCUUUCGCCAGAGAUGAUAAUGACAGUAUCUGGUAAAGAAACCCCGGCUAACUCCGUGCCAGCAGCCGCGGUAAUACGGAGGGGGUUAGCGUUGUUCGGAAUUACUGGGCGUAAAGCGCGCGUAGGCGGAUUAGUCAGUCAGAGGUGAAAUCCCAGGGCUCAACCCUGGAACUGCCUUUGAUACUGCUAGUCUUGAGUUCGAGAGAGGUGAGUGGAAUUCCGAGUGUAGAGGUGAAAUUCGUAGAUAUUCGGAGGAACACCAGUGGCGAAGGCGGCUCACUGGCUCGAUACUGACGCUGAGGUGCGAAAGUGUGGGGAGCAAACAGGAUUAGAUACCCCCGUAGUC